ensembl:lncRNA
AGGUGAGAUACGUCCCUACCCUGCUGCAGGGGGAGGUGAGAUACGUCCCUACCCUGCUGCAGGGGGAGGUGAGAUACGUCCCUACCCUGCUGCAGGGGGAGGUGAGAUACGUCCCUACCCUGCUGCAGGGAGGAGGCAGGGAGAGGUGAGAUACAUCCCUACCCUGCUGCAGGGGGAGGUGAGAUACGUCCCUACCCUGCUGCAGGGAGGAGGCAGGGAGAGGUGAGAUACAUCCCUACCCUGCUGCAGGGAGGAGGCAGGGAGAGGUGAGAUACGUCCCUACCCUGCUGCAGGGAGGAGGCAGGGGGAGGUGAGAUACAUCCCUACCCUGCUGCAGGGAGGAGGCAGGGAGAGGUGAGAUACAUCCCUACCCUGCUGCAGGGAGGAGGCAGGGAGAGGUAAGAUACUUCCCUACCCUGCUGCAGGGAGGAGGCAGGGGGAGGUGAGAUACAUCCCUACCCUGCUGCAGGGAGGAGGCAGGGAGAGGUGAGAUACAUCCCUACCCUGCUGCAGGGAGGAGGCAGGGAGAGGUGAGAUACGUCCCUACACUGCUGCAGGGGGAGGUGAGAUACGUCCCUACCCUGCUGCAGGGGGAGGUGAGAUACGUCCCUACCCUGCUGCAGGGGGAGGUGAGAUACGUCCCUACCCUGCUGCAGGGGGAGGUGAGAUACGUCCCUACCCUGCUGCAGGGAGGAGGUGAGAUACGUCCCUACCCUGCUGCAGGGAGGAGGUGAGAUACGUCCCUACCCUGCUGCAGGGAGGAGGUGAGAUACGUCCCUGCCCUUCGUUCCUUCUCACUGUUUUUGUUUUUCUUCAUUCGUCUUUUGUAUAAACUAGAAUCAUUUCACUGUUUUGCUACUGCUGUGGCAAUCACAGUUCUGUGUCGUACCGCUAGUAUGGGAUGGAACGUAAUUUAAUUUGACUGAGUACGUCACCAAAUCAUCGUCCCAUAUACAAACACACAAGCCAUGUGCUUACCAGCAAGUCAUUUAACAUGGGAGGUUCGUUUCCAGUCCUGCUUCUAUCUAUAUAUAUAUAUAGAGCGCGUGUAUACUUGGUGUAGAACUUUGCAUAUAUAUAAAUAUAAAAAACUUUAGUUUUUCUGUUUUUUGAUGUUGACUAUCUAUAAUGUCUCCUAGUAGUGAACACAUUUCUGACUGUGUAAUUGUACAUUUGUAAACCCUUGUAAUGUAAACGUGAUUUACCACCCUUUUUGGUAUCAGACGAUAUAUAUAUAUAUGUAUAUAUAUAUGUAUAUCUAUAUAUAAAAAAACAAAACGUUUAAAAAAAACUCUUAACUCUGUGCAUUUCGAUGCAUAUUCCCACCUCCUUGUUUGUGACAUAUGAGUUGUUGUAUAUUGUAAAUUGUAAUAUCAAAUUUUGGUUUUGAAAAUUCCUUUCUAUACUGCGUAGUACUUGUACAAAGCACCCCCCACCUCAACAGAACUCACCACCUUAACAACAGAACUCACCACCUCAACAACAGAACUCACCACCUCAACAACAGAACUCACCACCUCAACAACAGAACUCACCACCUCAACAACAGAACUCACCACCUCAACCCCAUCCACCGAACUACACUGCAAACGCUCCCUGUCCGUUUACUAAACGUCCAUUACGCCACAGUUACCACUGAAGUCAACGAGACGUGGUACACCAACAUGUCAGUAGUGAAGAGACUCUUUUAUUUUUUACACAAGUCUAUAUAAAUUACAGAGAGUGAGACAUGGCAUCUGACUGAAGCGUCAACAGCUGACAGUGACUCUGGGUUUCCGCCUGUUCUGUAGCAGUCAAAACAUUACAGCACACACGCUACAGAACACACGCUACAGAACACACGCUACAGAACACACGCUACAGAACACACGCUACAGAACACACGCUACAGAACACACGCUACAGAACACACGCUACAGAACACACGUUACAGAACACACGCUACAGAACACACGCUACAGAACACACGCUACAGAACACACGCUACAGAACACACCUUACAGAACACACGCUACAGAACACACGCUACAGAACACACCUUACAGAACACACGCUACAGAACACACCUUACAGAACACACCUUACAGAACACACGCUACAGAACACACGCUACAGAACACACGCUACAGAACACACGCUACAGAACACACGUUACAGAACACACGCUACAGAACACACGCUACAGAACACACGCUACAGAACACACCUACAGAACACACGCUACAGAACACACGCUACAGAACACACCUUACAGAGAACACACGCUACAGAACACACGCUACAGAACACACGCUACAGAACACACCUUACAGAACACACGUUACAGAACACACGCUACAGAACACACGCUACAGAACACACCUUACAGAACACACCUUACAGAACACACCUUACAGAACACACGCUACAGAACACACGCUACAGAAC